ACUCCUACGGGAGGCAGCAGUAAGGAAUAUUGGACAAUGGACGCAAGUCUGAUCCAGCCAUGCCGCGUGAAGGAUGAAUGCCCUCUGGGUUGUAAACUUCUUUUACAGGGGAAGAAAGUUAUCUUUUUUAGGAUAUUUGACGGUACCCUAUGAAUAAGCACCGGCUAACUCCGUGCCAGCAGCCGCGGUAAU
rnacentral:rRNA from 1 species